GGCCUGGCUGGGCGGUCCGCCUCACGGUGUGUACUGUCCGGCUGGGUCUUACCUCUUGGUGAGCCGGCAUGCCCUUUACUGGGUGUGUCGGGGAACCAGGACUUUUACCUUGAGAAAAUUAGAGUGUUCAAAGCAGGCCUGCGCCUGAAUACAUUAGCAUGGAAUAAUAGAAUAGGACUU
rnacentral:rRNA from 1 species